AUAUAGAUUUCUCCAUUGUUUUCAUUAAAUUUCUCAUCAAAAUGCUGUUUACACUUUUUAUGCAUGUUACUUUUCAAUAGUUCUGAAAAUCCUUGCUAGAAACGCAGGAUCUGAGACUUCGUUGCUAUAAGCUGAGGAACUUCCCAUCACCAGAAUAUGCCGUCAUCCUGCAGCCACUGGGUAACAAGGGAAUUGCAGUUAUAUGAGGUGAUACAAUAAGGGGGUUUUCCACUGCUGACCAGGGUAGUUAAGGACGACCAGCCUGUAUCAUACCGGACAGCCACA